AAUUUGAAACAAGGGCAACUUAACCUAAGCAGUUUUCCUUUCCGCCUCUCCUCUCUUUUUCUCCCAUCGUCUCUUUAAUUUCCAGAUCUCCAUUGUUGAGACUCCAACUCCUUUCUAUCUCUCCCCCUCCAAAAAUUCAAAGUAUCCUCUCACCAACCCUUCCCAAUUUGUCUAUCAUCUCUGAAACAAAAAGCAGGAAGCGACAAACCCUAGGUUCCGACGCGGCAAAGACGGGUAGAUCCCGAACCAGUAGUUAGACUGGUUUGCAUUUACCGACGACUCAAAUUUCUUGGUUUUUGAUAGCUGGGAAGUACUCUGAACUGUCGAAGUGUUGGUGUUGGAGCUCCUGGUUAUCUCACGCCGACCUGAGUACGUUCUUGAGGAUCAUUCUCGGUCUAUAUCAUCUUAUCCGGGUUUGUCUGAUUUGUUCUGGCCACCGCCUUCCUGGAUUCUGCCCAAUUCGCGCUCUUUUGCUAGGUUGUAUCAGAAGCCAUUAAGAGCUUUCUUAAAGUUAUAUGAUCAAUAAGGUCGCAACAGCAAGAAGAAUGCAACCAGAAGAAAAAGAUUGACAAGUUGGAGAGGAGAUGGCAGAAGGAACUAAGGUCUCCAAGUGAAAUUGAAAAAAAGCUCGAAGCAAACAAUAGAUAGGGAGAUAUGGAAUCUGGGUUCAACCUUAUCUUCUUGUUGUGGGAUGCCGGGGACUUGGACCUUUCCAGAGGUAUGGAGAUCACAACAACGAUAUUACCGCAUUUCUGAGUGAGCAACCAUUAGGUAGGGAGGAUGCUUUUGGUAGAACCGUAGAACCCUACUUGGUCACAUUCCCGCAAACAAUGCUUAUGGACUCCCGGAGAUAGAUGUGGCGAUCAGAGUAUCACACCCCCCCGAAGAGAAGGACAAGAUGAGAAUCUUCACAUGUAGUUUAAAGUAUGUUUAAUGUUCAUUAGGUGCUGUGUUUCGUUCUUAUAUCAGCCGAGAUUGAAGGAAAAUGCAACAUUUGUUAGCAGUCACGUGACACGUCUCCUUCUUCUCUCGUCCACACUCAACCCUCCGUCCACCAUCACCGCGCACCAUCACCACCGCCUCCAACGUCCGGCCGUUCUUCUUUGAGGCUCUGCUUCAUCUUCACCGGCGACGAGGCCCCACGCUGCGCCUCCUCUGCAUAUUGAGGGCCCAAGAUCUCCUGAAGAGAUGCUUUCUAUAUUACAGAGAGUUCUGGAAGAAACUGCACCUGUACUUGUCUCAGCCAGGGUUGAAGCUAAGGAGAGGAGGACCAAGUAACAUAUGAUGAGGGAAGAACAAGAAGCUUCUUACAGGGCUGCAUUAGAAGCUGUCAGGUUUUCAAAACUCCAAGGGAGGGGCCCUUACCAAAAAGGAGUUGGAUGAAGUUCGAGACAAGUGGGCUAUUUACUUCAACGAUUGUGAACUACCCUCAGUGUAAUAAAUAGAGCAGGCUUGUAGUUAUUCGUGACUCUUACAUUAUUUUGUUAUUUAUCGAUUUAAUUAAUUACAUUUGAAUUAAUUCGGUAAUAUUAUUGGAAAUUUGAAAUUUAUAUCAUUUUUGAGAAUGUCAA